rnacentral:tRNA from 1 species
GCCUAAGUAGCUCAGUUGGUAGAGCGCCGCACUCGUAACGCGGAGGUCCCCGGUUCGAUCCCGGGUUUAGGCU